rnacentral:rRNA from 1 species
GCCAGCAGCCGCGGUAACACCGGCGGCCCGAGUGGUGAUCGUGAUUAUUGGGUCUAAAGGGUCCGUAGCCGGUUUGGUCAGUCCUCCGGGAAAUCUGAUAGCUCAACUAUUAGGCUUUCGGGGGAUACUGCCAGACUUGGAACCGGGAGAGGUAAGAGGUACUACAGGGGUAGGAGUGAAAUCUUGUAAUCCCUGUGGGACCACCUGUGGCGAAGGCGUCUUACCAGAACGGGUUCGACGGUGAGGGACGAAAGCUGGGGGCACGAACCGGAUUAGAUACCCGGGUAGUCCCAGCCGUAAACGAUGCUCGCUAGGUGUCAGGCAUGGCGCGACCGUGUCUGGUGCCGCAGGGAAGCCGUGAAGCGAGCCACCUGGGAAGUACGGCCGCAAGGCUGAAACUUAAAGGAAUUGGCGGGGGAGCACAACAACGGGUGGAAGCCUGCGGUUUAAUUGGACUCAACGCCGGACAACUCACCGGGGGCGACAGCAAUAUGUAGGCCAAGCUGAAGACUUUGCCUGAAUCGCUGAGAGGAGAGGUGCAUGG